UGAGCCUUGCUUUAUAAUGUAAUUGUAGAAAAGUGGAAAGAUGGUGGCUAAUCUCUUGAAAAAGGGGUGAUGCCUAUGGUUUAUAGCUUUAUCCCUAGAAAGGAAUAGCGUGUGUCAACUUUUGAAGCAAUUCAGCUGAUGAUCGCUUUUGCGACAUUAGUCUUGCUGAUAAUUGACCAUAA
rfam:Enterococcus villorum ATCC 700913 genomic scaffold acvIF-supercont1.8, whole genome shotgun sequence.